CUACUAGCUAGUUGGCGGGGUAACGGCCCACCAAGGCAACGAUGGGUAGCGGGUGUGAGAGCAUGACCCGUCUCACUGGGACUGAGACACUGCCCAGACACCUACGGGUGGCUGCAGUCGAGAAUCUUCGGCAAUGAGCGCAAGCUUGACCGAGCGACGCCGCGUGCGGGAUGAAGGCCCUCGGGUUGUAAACCGCGAAAGUCGGGCGGAAGGUCCUGUGAAGAGCAAGAUUUGACCAAUCGACAGUAAGGACGGGCUAAGUUCGUGCCAGCAGCCGCGGUAAGACGAACCGCCCAAACGUUAUUCGGAAUUACUGGGCUUAAAGGGUUCGUAGGCGGCCUUGUAAGUGAGAUGUGAAAUCCCACGGCUCAACCGUGGAAGUGCAUUUCAUACUGCAAGGCUUGAGGGAGACAGAGGUAAGCGGAACUGAUGGUGGAGCGGUGGAAUGCGUUGAUAUCAUCAGGAACACCGGUGGCGAAAGCGGCUUACUGGGUCUCUUCUGACGCU
rnacentral:rRNA from 1 species